rnacentral:rRNA from 1 species
UACGUAGGUGGCAAGCGUUAUCUGGAAUUAUUGGGCGUAAAGAGCGCGCAGGUGGUUGAUUAAGUCUGAUGUGAAAGCCCACGGCUUAACCGUGGAGGGUCAUUGGAAACUGGUCGACUUGAGUGCAGAAGAGGGAAGUGGAAUUCCAUGUGUAGCGGUGAAAUGCGUAGAGAUAUGGAGGAACACCAGUGGCGAAGGCGGCUUCCUGGUCUGUAACUGACACUGAGGCGCGAAAGCGUGGGGAGCAAACAGGAUUAGAUA